rnacentral:rRNA from 1 species
GACGAACGCUGGCGGCGUGCUUAACACAUGCAGGUCGAACGGAAAGGCCCUGCUUUUGUGGGGUGCUCGAGUGGCGAACGGGUGAGUAACACGUGAGUAACCUGCCCUUGACUUUGGGAUAACUUCAGGAAACUUGGGCUAAUACCGGAUAGGAGCUCCUGCUGCAUGGUGGGGGUUGGAAAGUUUCGGCGGUUGGGGAUGGACUCGCGGCUUAUCAGCUUGUUGGUGGGGUAGUGGCUUACCAAGGCUUUGACGGGUAGCCGGCCUGAGAGGGUGACCGGCCACAUUGGGACUGAGAUACGGCCCAGACUCCUACGGGAGGCAGCAGUGGGGAAUAGUGCACAAUGGGCGGAAGCCUGAUGCAGCAACGCCGCGUGCGGGAUGACGGCCUUCGGGUUGUAAACCGCUUUCGCCUGUGACGAAGCGUGAGUGACGGUAAUGGGUAAAGAAGCACCGGCUAACUACGUG